UCGCGGCUANCACAUGCAAGUCGAGCGGUAAGGCCUUUCGGGGUACACGAGCGGCGAACGGGUGAGUAACACGUGGGUGAUCUGCCCUGCACUCUGGGAUAAGCUUGGGAAACUGGGUCUAAUACCGGAUAUGACCACAGCAUGCAUGUGUUGUGGUGGAAAGAUUUAUCGGUGCAGGAUGGGCCCGCGGCCUAUCAGCUUGUUGGUGGGGUAAUGGCCUACCAAGGCGACGACGGGUAGCCGACCUGAGAGGGUGACCGGCCACACUGGGACUGAGACACGGCCCAGACUCCUACGGGAGGCAGCAGUGGGGAAUAUUGCACAAUGGGCGGAAGCCUGAUGCAGCGACGCCGCGUGAGGGAUGAAGGCCUUCGGGUUGUAAACCUCUUUCAGCAGGGACGAAGCGUGAGUGACGGUACCUGCAGAAGAAGCACCGGCUAACUGCGUGCCAGCAGCCGCGGUAAUACGUAGGGUGCGAGCGUUGUCCGGAAUUACUGGGCGUAAAGAGUUCGUAGGCGGUUUGUCGCGUCGUUUGUGAAAACCCGGGGCUCAACUUCGGGCUUGCAGGCGAUACGGGCAGACUUGAGUGUUUCAGGGGAGACUGGAAUUCCCUGGUGUAGCGGUGAAAUGCCGACAAGAUAUCAGGAGGAANCANCCCGGUGGCGAAGGCCGGGUCUCUGGGAAAACAANCUGACGCUGAGGAACGAAAGCAUGGGUAGCAAACAGGAUUAGAUACCCUGGUAGUCCAC
rnacentral:rRNA from 1 species